CUUGGAAAUUGUCUAUUUGGGCAAGCUUAAAGUUAUUUAUUAGUAAAACUACACAAAAGUAUUAUAUAAAUAUUGAUAUACAAAAAGUGGCGGAGUUAGACUUCGUUAUCAGGUCACAAUAACCAUAAUAAAAAGAGCCCCACAAUCAAGCGUCUCAAGAAAUCGAAAGAGCGGCAGCAGCAACAACACGAUUGCAACAAUGUGGCAAAUGACCGGCAACAAAUGUUCUCAAUGGCUUGUCACCCCAAACAAUGAACAGCAAUUCGAGACACCCGCUCCCCUUACCCACCCCCCUCAGUCAAUAUGAACCACAGCACACUCUUGGAAUGUCAACGACGCAGAGGAAAGCAGAGAAUACAACAACAACAGCAUCAGCUGCGACAUAAACCUUAAAGGUAAAGGCAAUGAUGGCUGAGUGUGCCCAAAUGACCCAGAACUUGCCACACUAUGGCGUCUAAUGGUGAGCGGGCGAGUGGGUGGCUAGCUUGCCAACUUUGAUGUUUUUACUCAAUGCUAAACUGACCACCAGCAAAAAGCUCUUAAAUAACAGCAUAACAGCGUACUCUCUGUCGAGUGUAAAAAUAUAUUCGAGCAAUUCUUGUUUAUAACAGAAUAUAAGAGUUUCGAAAGACGGUUAACAUAGGCAACGAAGGGGAAAUAGCAACAGUCAAGAGAGAACGUUAGGAAUAGCAAAUUAAGAGAAUUCUACAGAACUUGUCUUAUCGACCGACCACCACUACAGAAAAAAAUGCAAUGUUAACACAAUUUUUGUUUUGUUAUUACUAGAUUUCAUUUAUAUAGAAUGUAAAUAAAAAUUAUUCAAAUAA